AGCUCCAAUAGCGUAUCUUAAAGUUGUUGCAGUUAAAAAGCUCGUAGUUGGAUUUCUGGUUAGGUGCUAAUGUCCGCCAUUCGGCGCGUUGCAGCGGCGCCCUUCCAUCCUUCUGUUAACGCCUCUUGGCAUUCAUUUGCUGGUGGUGGGCUCAGAUAUUUUACCUUGAGAAAAUUAGAGUGUUUCAGGCAGGCUAGGCCGGAAUAUAUUAGCAUGGAAUAAUGGAAUAGGACUAUGGUCUCUUUGUUGGUUUGAGGGACUGCAGUAAUGAUUAAUAGGGAUAGUUGGGGGCAUUAGUAUUUAAUUGUCAGAGGUGGAAUUCUCAGAUUUGUUAAAGACUAACUUAUGCGAAAGCAUUUGCCAAGGAUGUUU
rnacentral:rRNA from 1 species